UACGGAGGAUCCGAGCGUUAUCCGGAUUUAUUGGGUUUAAAGGGAGCGUAGGUGGAUUGUUAAGUCAGUCGUGAAAGUUUGCGGCUCAACCGUAAAAUUGCAGUUGAAACUGGCAGUCUUGAGUACAGUAGAGGUGGGCGGAAUUCGUGGUGUAGCGGUGAAAUGCUUAGAUAUCACGAAGAACUCCGAUUGCGAAGGCAUCUCACUGGACUGCAACUGACACUGAGGCUCGAAAGUGUGGGUAUCAAACAGG
rnacentral:rRNA from 1 species